rnacentral:rRNA from 2 species
CGACCCCAGGUCAGGCGGGGUUACCCGCUGAAUUUAAGCAUAUCAAUAAGCGGAGGAAAGG